AGCUAGGUGAUAUUCAUUAAACAAUACAAAAUGGGGAAUGUAAACAAAGCAAUGAGUGAAAGUGUCACAAGAAACCAAGAGUUUAUGCUUGCCAGUCAAAGAGAACAGCUGGAACGUCAAAUCCACCUUCAAAAUGAGAUGAGGGAGAAAAUGCUUGCUCUGCAAAUAGCUCGGUCUCGAGAGAUGCUCUACUGGUUUGGGGCCUUCUAUAUAAUUGCUGGUGUUGGUAUGAUUGCUGGGUAUCGGAGAUCUCGUAAGCCAGGCACUCUGGUCCCUCUACUGCCCCUCACCUUCAUAUUGGGCUACCAGACUGACAUGUGCUAUGGCUCUAAGCUGGCUAGACUCAAGAUGGAGGCUGAGAAUAUCCUGGGAUUUGAGCGUGAGCUCGUUGCCCUGCCUGGAGGCCUGCCCACCCCAGCCUCCCUGGAUGAAGCGAGGAUGCGGCAGGAGGAGGCUCGACGGCUCAACAAGGCAAUGUAUCAACACAAGAGUGGUCAUUACUGAGCGAUGCUUCCGUACUGGACGGUCAUCCUGCCUCGUUCAUGGAAUUGUUACCGAAGAGCUCGUAGGGGUCAAAGCAGCGAACAAGACAUAGCUUCUUGAUGCCUCUUGUCUUCAGUCUUGCGCGAAUUUAUUUGUCACUCCCACCAUUAUAUAAAGUAUCCUUAUUAUAUCAAUUCAGAUAUAAUUAAAGAUGAUCAAAUGAAUAAACUAGGCUUUUGUUUGUCAACGCUGGCCGGAGUCGCGCAGUGAAGUGGAGUUCAUGACAGCAUGCGCAUCUGUUUACUGCACAAGGUUCAUGGAUUAGCUGUUUCGCACGUGGAGGCAGAGCUGGGCAGCGGUAUAUGUAUAAGCGGCCGCUACCGCUUCAAUUGCUUAU
rnacentral:misc_RNA from 1 species